rnacentral:rRNA from 1 species
UACGAAGGGGGCUAGCGUUGCUCGGAAUCACUGGGCGUAAAGGGCGCGUAGGCGGCCAUUCAAGUCGGAGGUGAAAGCCCAGGGCUCAACCCUGGAAUUGCCUUCGAUACUGUUUGGCUAGAGACCGGAAGAGGUAAGUGGAACUGCGAGUGUAGAUGUGAAAUUCGUAGAUAUUCGCAAGAACACCAGUGGCGAAGGCGGCUUACUGGUCCGGUUCUGACGCUGAGGCGCGAAAGCGUGGGGAGCAAACAGG